rnacentral:rRNA from 1 species
GCUAGGAUGUUGGCUCAGAAGCAGCCAUACAUUCAAAGAGUGCGUAACAGCUCACUAGUCGAGGGUCCGGGCAUGGAUAAUAAUCGGGUAUAAGGCAGACACCGAAGGCGCGGGAUAGCAUUUAAGAAAGUAUCGGUAGGGGAGCAUACUCACAGCGUGGAAUGGUGUACGUAAGUUAUCCUGGAGCGGUGAGUAAAGCAAAUGUAGGAAUAAGUAACGAUAAGGAGGGU